rnacentral:SRP_RNA from 10 species
GCUGGACAUCGUGGCGGGUGCCUGUAAUCCCAGCUACUUGGAGGCUGAGGCAGGAGAAUCGCUUGAACCCAGGAGGUGGAGGUUGCAGUGAGCUGAGGUUGCACCAUUGCACUCCAGCCUGGGCGACAAGAGUGAAACUGUCUCAAAAAAAAAAGAAAAAAUUUUUUUUAGAGACAGGGUCUUACUCUUGUCGCCCAGGCAGGAGUGCAAUGGUGUGAUCACAACUCACUGUAGCCUUGACCUGGGCUCAAGUGAUCCUCCCACCUUA